UAUAAUAAUAUAUUAGCAGAUGAUGCAGUUUACAUUUAUUUAAAAUAAUUUACAUUUGAUAUGAAUUAUUUGUGUUUAUUUAAUUAUUUUUUUUCAAAAUGUGUAAAUGUGGUUAUCCUCCCACUGGAGAAAGAAAGGUGUGUUUAUGUGUGUGGUGAUGGUGUAGUGGUCAGAGCACACAUCAUGACAUCUGAAGCUGUCACAGCAUACCUGGGUUCAAAUCCAAGCACUGCUGCUGCUUUUUACUGAGGUAGUCAGGAAAAAAACCAAAGUAGUUUAAUGUUUGUGGUCCUGUCCUAAUUGCCUUUCCGUUUGCACUUGCAUUGGUGUGCGCGAUACAUCAAUGCAGGUUUUGUACCCAGGCCACUGCUGUAACCAUGUCCACUGCAAAUAUGUGUUCAGCCACUCGACCAUUGGGACUUUCAGUCUGUCAGCUGCUGUUUGGGCCACACUGUUUGAUUGAAUCCCAGCAACCAAAGGUAAAGUAAGCAAUAGUGGGACUCAAACCCAUGUCUUCUGUAUGGCAGUCAAAGGCUCAUCCACUGAACCACAGGGCUUGGCUUUUGGCAGUAGUUGUUUUGUGAGCCAAAUUACAAAGAAACACAUGUCACACCUUGGUCGUGCUGAAAAUAGUGAUAAAGCCCAAUUCAGACACUCUCCGCAUCGUGUAGACUCGAUGGCUCAGGUCAUAAAGUAUUGAUCUUUAAUCAAGGAGACCCGGGUUCAAACCUCACUAUGGCUAAUGUCCAUCUUGAGCUCAUUAUACUCACCAAGAGCUCCUGAUGAUGGACGCUGAUGUGAAACCAAUGAUGAAUGAGUGAAUAAACACAAGUUCUCUGAGGAAGAGACUCAUAAAGACAAGAGUUCAGAUCUGACUUGUAUCUUGUUCCAGCAGAAGUGGGAUUUGAUCCUUCACACUUCUAAAUGGCAGUCGAAAGCUCAUCCACUGAGCUACAGGUUUUGAGAUUUGGCAAAAGGCUUUUUGUGAACCAAAUUACAAAGAAAUAUGUGUCAAACCUUGGUCAUAAUGAGAUUGGUGAUAAAGCCCCAUUCAGAUAUCUCCUCCAACAUGUAGACUCAGUAGCUCAGGUCAUAAAGUGUUGAGCUUUAAUCAAGGAGACCCGGGUUCAAACCUCACCAUGGCCAAUGUCCAACUGAUCUCAUUAUAUUCACCUGAUGAUGGAUGCUGAUGUGAAACUCAUGAUGGGUGAGUCAAUAAACACAAGCUCACUGAGGAAGAGACUCAUAAAGACAAGGGGUCAGAUCUGACUUGUAUCUUGUUUUAUUGAAACAGCUCACACACAGGUCUGCAGUCAAACACCAGUACCAGCAGGUGCUCAGCCAGGAGAUCUGUGGCUCUGUGGUAAGAGCGCUGCCCCACGGCUUCAGGGGUUGCUGGUUCAAUGCCAGCCAGAACUCUGCGAUAUGAGUGAAUGGUGAGUGAGUGUGAGGCGCGCCUGAAGAAGGGGGGAUACCAGUACGGUCUCCCCCUGGAGCUUCCGGAGCCGUGUCCAGCAGGGGUUAUACUUUACAGCCUGACAAAGAAUUUAAAAUGAACUGUAUAAAAAUUCUGGACCUUCGUCCCUUCCCCACCCGUUUCGGUUACCAUCAUUUGCUUUCUAGAGGAGUGACCCUCCACAAAGAAAAUGAUGGUAACCGACAUGUGGAACAGAUAAACACACACACAAUCACACAUGAUUUAUGUCACCUGUGCAGCAGCAGAUGCUCAUCAUCAGUACAGUCAGUGUCUGUCCACACGUCUCUGCUUCUGUUCAGUAGGCUUACAGUCCACAACACUUCACUGAUCCUGUAGAGUCGACACAAAUAAACACAUUAUUACACACACUGAAUAUCUGAUCCAAGAAAAAUGCAAAAAUUACAUGUGUAUGAAAUAUUGCGCCCUCCUGUGGAGAUUUCUUUAAACUACACUUGCAAAUCUUGAAUUUUCUGAAUUUGAAAUAUAUUUGCUAUAACAGCACCUUCUUGUGGUGAUUUUGUGGACUUUGCUGCUGCUGUUUCUCCCUCCUGUGGAGAUAUUUCUGAAUUUCACACUUGUUAAUCUAAUAGACCAAUUACCAACCUGCGCCACUCAUCAAUAAAGACACAUAUAACUUGUUUGACAAGCUCUUAUAUUGGGGAUGCAGAAUGUUUUCAUUGUUUAAAGAUUUUACCAACAAAAAUACGAACACAUUUCAAGCUGAGACUGCAUAUAUCAGACACAAUGCACUCAGUUGAGCUAGUGGCGUCACUGUGAGGGGUGUGGUUAUGUGUCCGCAUUACAGCGCAGAUCCCAUCCGCUCCACUACGCGGCAUCAGCGAGCUGCUCUUUGAGCCUGAACACCACAACAGUGACACCAGAGCAACACAGGUACACCGUUUUACUGGCAUCAAGUUGAGCUCCAGCAGAUGACAGCUCAGUGAUAGACUCAUAAUGUCAGUCAACAGCACAUAUUACAGCCCGACAGCGAAGAAAAGCGACACAAAGUGCAGAAAUGGAGAGUAACGCGACUCACCUGUAAGUGACUUUGUUUCGUUGGUUUAGUUUGUAGUGAUGUUGUUGUAGUGUUUGUGUUCAGUCAUUGCUCUCUCUCUCCUCUGCAGCAGUGAAGAUACACACGUGUGUCUGUUGUGUUUCUGCUGCAGAUCUUUGACCAGCGCUCAACAGCUGAUACUCCUCCACACACUCCUCCACAUCCAGGCGGAUUCACAGCUCCAGUAAAGAAAUCCCACAACAGCUCGACACUGAAGAAAAGCGACACAAAGUGCAGAAAUGGAGAGUAACGCGACUCACCUCAGUGAAGAUACACUCUUUUAGCCUGAACACCUUUGACAACAGCGACACCAGAUCAACACAGGUACACCGUUUUACUGGCUUCAAGUUGAGCUCCAGCAGAUGACAGCUCAGUGAUAGACUCAUGUCAGUCAACAGCACAUAUUACAGCCCGACAGCGAAGAAAAGCCACACCAAGUGCAGAAAUGGAGAGUAACGCGACUCACCUCAGUGAAGAUACACACGUGUGUCUGUUGUGUUUCUGCUGCAGAUCUUUGACCAGUGCUCAACAGCUGAUGCUCCUCCACACACUCCUCCACAUCCAGGCGGAUUCACAGCUCCAGUAAAGAAUCUACCAAGCCAGGUCAGAGGUGUGUAGCAGCAGCUGCCAGUCUGGAUGUAGACUACACCAGUAUUAACCAGUUUCAGAUAAGACGGCUGAGAGUACGAGAAACAGCCUUGAGGAUGAAACAGGUCGUUCUCUGUAGAGCUGCUCGAUAUUGGAAAUAUGUCACAUUGUGAUAUUUAGAUUUCUGUGAUUUAUAUUGUGAUAUGAGAACAAUUUCACCAGAUGACUUGAACGACUCUAUGUGUACAGAAUUGAUCAUUUUAGAUUGAUUAGGAUGAUUCUGUAGAGGAGAGCAUCUGAAUAAAUAUAAUAAACAAUCUACAAGCUUAGAUAAAUGCAGCGAAGAGGAAGAUAGAGAUGAAAUAAACAAUGUUUUACUGUUUCCUGAAGAGUCUAACAGUACUCAGGUACAGCAACUGAAUAAUCAAAUGUAAAAUAACACUGCACCCAGCUAGCAAAAUUUAUGUGGCUAAAAUCCGGCCCACACCAGACACUUACAUUCGGCCUACAUACCGCAUGGAAUGAUGGCAAUUUGGCGGUCCGCUCCUGUUUUCCAGAUAUGGGCCACAAUUAAGCUAUGGUCAUACCACAUGGCAGCUACAAUUCAACCAAAUGAACCAGAAGUGACCCUAUUCUGGGCCACAGUU